AGUGAACGCUGGCGGUAGGCCUAACACAUGCAAGUCGAACGGCAGCACAGUAAGAGCUUGCUCUUACGGGUGGCGAGUGGCGGACGGGUGAGGAAUACAUCGGAAUCUACUUUUUCGUGGGGGCUAACGUAGGGAAACUUACGCUAAUACCGCAUACGACCUACGGGUGAAAGCAUGGGAUCUUCGGACCUUGCGCGAUUCAAUGAGCCGAUGUCGGAUUAGCUAGUUGGCGGGGUAAAGGCCCACCAAGGCGACGAUCCGUAGCUGGUCCGAGAGGAUGAUCAGCCACACUGGAACUGAGACACGGUCCAGACUCCUACGGGAGGCAGCAGUGGGGAAUAUUGGACAAUGGGCGCAAGCCUGAUCCAGCCAUACCGCGUGGGUGAAGAAGGCCUUCGGGUUGUAAAGCACUUUUGUUGGGAAAGAAAAGCAGCAGGUUAAUACCCCGCUGUUCUGACGGUACCAAAAGAAUAAGCACCGGCUAACUUCGUG
rnacentral:rRNA from 1 species